UAACACCUAAAAAUAUUUAUUAUAAUCAGACGUAAACCCAAAUAGUUUUCUACACAGGCGGCGAAUUUGUCAUCAAAUUGAUUAAUAAAAUGCACGGAAUCGGCGGCAUCCAUUACUAUCCGAUUUGGCUCCAUUCAGCAAAUUGAUGAAUGAAAUGAACAGAAUCGGCGCAUCCAUUGUUGUCCGAUUUGGCUCCGUUCAAUUGAUGAAUGAAAUGCACGGAAUCGAAGGCAUCCAUUAUUGUCCGAUUUGGCUCCGUUCAGCUAAUUUAAUUUUCCGGCCGACUGAUUUUGACUGAGGAAUCUCAAAAGUUAAGAGACAAAAAAUAAGUGACGUUGCACGUUGAUUAGCUUUGUCAUUGCGAUCUGAUGAGUAUGAAUAUGGAGCUAGGGUUUGAUCACACAUAUGAAGGUAUAGAAACUUACGACUCACCACCAGAGAUGAAGAACUUGCAGAUCGCCCCUAGAGUGUAUAGUUCUCUCUAGUUCUUCGGAUGAUCUUCAGAUUGAAGAUGCUUUCUCCCCAAUUCCUUGAAUGAUCCCCUUGAGAGAAUCAAAAAUGAAACUGGCCAAGAUUGUUUUAUCGGCCAGUAGGUUCUAUUAUUGUGACAACCAUGUUGGUUUGUUUGAUAAUCCACAACUACAUCCCUUUGGAACUCCAUGAAAAUCUCUUCUUUGGACUAAAAAACAUGUUCACUAAGUUCUUGAAUCAGCUAACGAUGACGAUUGACGAAUUUAAUGGCCUUGUCAACAACGAAAUUCAUGAAGCUGCUGAAAUUUAUUUGAGCAACAAGUUGUCACCUAACAUCCAUCGACUUAAAACUAGUAAGCCUGAGAAGGAGAAGAAUAUCAACAUCGUCAUGGAACGUAAUGAGGAGGUUUACUGAUUUUAAGUCGCUUGAUGUUAGGGGACAACUUGUUGCCCAAAUAGAUUGCAACAGCAUCAUAAAUUUCGUUGUUAACGAGGCCAUCAAAUUCGUCAAUCACCAUCGUUAGCUGAUUUGAGAACUUGGUGAACAUAUUUUUGAGUCCAAAGAAGAGAUACUCAUGGAGCUCCCGGGGGAUGUAGUCGUUAACUAUCGUGCGAACCAACAUGGCUGUUGCCGCAAUAGAGCCUAUUGUCGAUAAAACCAUCUUGGUGGUGGCCAUUUUCGAUUCUGUUGAUGAAGAGGACAUGUUCUAGAAGGACUUUUUUGGCUAGUGUGUGCUCAAGAUUUUGCUACAAGUUUUAGUGUCGUGAUAUAUAGGUUCUGAUCUACAAGAAGGUGAGGGGAAACAGGGUGCAAUUGCAAUUGAGAAAAAUGUCAAAUUUAUAGGAGAAUCAUGUGAAGAAAAGAACAAAAUGGAGUGAGAAAUUGGCCAAUAGGAAAUAGAAAAAAUUGCACCAAGACUAACAAUAUAGUAGUAGUUGGUAUUGACUACGAAGACUUUGAAACUUCCCCCACAUUUGCCCACUAGAAUUUCCUUGCAGGUUACGCCUUUGCCUAUAUUUCAAAUACACUAUUUGUGGGGCUGAGAUAUUGCUAACGAUAAUCAGUGGCGAAGUCAAAAUUUCGUUAAGGGUAUUUAUAUGAAAAACAAGUUGACAUAUUUCGUAUAGUUUUCAACGAAGGGUAUCUGACCAGCCUUAACUAUAUGUGGUCAAGUCAAGGAUAAUCAAUUGAACACCUUUUGUUAGCAACUUAUAUAGUGUAUAUAGGUCAAAUAUUACUCUAUGCAUGUAUAAACACAUUAUGAUAAAUGUUAAAUGCCCUUAACAAUUUUUUUGACUUUACGAUUAUCGACAUGGCAUGUUUCUAUUUGUCACUUAAUAAAAGAUAAUAUGAGGAAAAUGCAAAAUA